AUUGAACGCUGGCGGCAGGCCUAACACAUGCAAGUCGAACGGCACGGCGGACGGGUGAGUAAUGCCUAGGAAUCUGCCUGGUAGUGGGGGAUAACGUCCGGAAACGGGCGCUGAUACCGCAUCCUAUCAGAUGAGCCUCGGGCGGAUUAGCUAGUUGGUGGGGUAAAGGCCUACCAAGGCGACGAUCCGCAACUGGUCUGAGAGGAGGAUCAGUCACACUGGAACUGAGACACGGUCCAGACUCCUACGGGAGGCAGCAGUGGGGAAUAUUGGACAAUGGGCGAAAGCCUGAUCCAGCCAUGCCGCGUGUGUGAAGAAGGUCUUCGGAUUGUAAAGCACUUUAAGUUGGGAGGCGUUACCAACAGAAUAAGCACCGGCUAACUUCGUGCCAGCCGCCGCGGUAAUAC
rnacentral:rRNA from 1 species